rnacentral:rRNA from 1 species
AUUGAACGCUGGCGGCAUGCCUUACACAUGCAAGUCGAACGGUAACAGGUCUUCGGAUGCUGACGAGUGGCGAACGGGUGAGUAAUAUAUCGGAACAUACCCUAGAGUGGGGGAUAACGUAGCGAAAGUUACGCUAAUACCGCAUACGAUCUGAGGAUGAAAGUGGGGGCUCGCAAGACCUCAUGCUCAUGGAGUGGCCGAUAUCUGAUUAGCUAGUUGGUGAGGUAAAGGCUCACCAAGGCGACGAUCAGUAGCUGGUUUGAGAGAACGACCAGCCACACUGGAACUGAGACACGGUCCAGACUCCCACGGGAGGCAGCAGUGGGGAAUUUUGGACAAUGGGGGCAACCCUGAUCCAGCAAUGCCGCGUGAGUGAAGAAGGCCUUCGGUUGUAAG